UACAGAGGGGGCAAGCGUUGUUCGGAAUUAUUGGGCGUAAAGAGCGUGUAGGCGGCCAGGUAGGUCCGUUGUGAAAACUCGAGGCUCAACCUCGAGACGUCGGCGGAAACCAUCUGGCUAGAGUCCGGAAGAGGAGAGUGGAAUUCCUGGUGUAGCGGUGAAAUGCGCAGAUAUCAGGAAGAACACCCGUGGCGAAGGCGGCUCUCUGGGACGGUACUGACGCUGAGACGCGAAAGCGUGGGGAGCAAACAGG
rnacentral:rRNA from 1 species